UAACACUCCUGUCCGACAGUCGGU
rnacentral:siRNA from 1 species